GUGAGGAAUUUUCCGCAAUGGGCGAAAGCCUGACGGAGCAAUGCCGCGUGAAGGAUGAAGGCCUAUGGGUUGUAAACUUCUUUUCUCAGAAAAGAAUUAUGACGGUAUCUGAGGAAUAAGCAUCGGCUAACUCUGUGCCAGCAGCCGCGGUAAGACAGAGGAUGCAAGCGUUAUCCGGAAUGAUUGGGCGUAAAGCGUCUGUAGGUUGUUUAAAAAGUAUUCUGUCAAAGAUUAGGGCUUAACCCUAGAUAGGCAGAAUAAACUUUUAAGCUAGAGUUUGGUAGAGGCAGAGGGAAUUCCCGGUGGAGCGGUGAAAUGCGUAGAUAUCGGGAGGAACACCAAAGGCGAAGGCACUCUGUUGGGCCAAUACUAACACUGAGAGACGAAAGCGAGGGGAGCAAAUGGGAUUAGAAACCCCUGUAGUCC
rnacentral:rRNA from 1 species